AUAUAUAUAAAAAUGGGACUUUUAGUAGAAUAUAUGCUUUUUUUUUUUCACCUUCCUGCCAAACUGGGUGCUCUCCCUUAAGCCUUUGCUAGGCAGGUUCCUUUAAUUAUCUCUAAUUGGUUUCAACUGUAUAAAUUCCAAUGGUAAAUCAAAGUAGAUCUGGCUAGUUUUGCAUGAACUAGUAAGUAUAAUUUGAAAGUUACUUUAGUUGUAAGAUGGGGAAGAAAAGGGAAACCCAUCUGAGGUUUUUUGUUUUGUUUCUAGAAACCAUUCUUAUCCUCCUUCUCUUACAACAUGUAGAUACCCCUCUAUUCAAACAGUAUCUAAAUGUAUGAGCAUUUGUAUAGGUUUUGAAGCAAAAGUAUCAAAAUCAAUGAUACCAUCUGCAUAAUUUUAAAUACAGUACCAGUGUAAGUACCAAUGGGAAGUCAGUUCAAACAGAAAUCUAGGAAUUUUUUAUUUGUUAUUUUUUAACAUGCCAAAACGAGAUAUAGGUUUUAAAGGUAUUUGUUUUAGAAGUUUUUGAAUUGGUCUCUUUGUGGGGAAGGGCUGGGCUUUUUGUUUUGUUUUUAAACAUGGGCUGACAUUUUUAGAAAAAAUAUAAACCCUAUUUCAUUGGCUCUAGACUUAAGGUUAUGUAAAUAUUAAAGGACAUAAGCAGAAGGGUGUGAUGCUGCAGGAGCAACUGAAGUCUGGUGCACUCAAAGGUUUGUCUGCAAUUUGGGAAACAGCCAAUAUAACCUUUGGCUAAUUUUGCAAGGCUAGCAAACACUGGUAUACUUAUCCACAGGAAAGCUUGCUGGCAAACUUGACUUUGUUAAAUGACUCUCCCUUUGUUUUGUUAUUAUUUAUUUUAAACGUAACUGUCUAGUCCUGCUCUCUAAAGCAUUCAUAAGCCCUUUCAUUGGAUCUGAGACAGGCAGGAUUUGCUGGUUGCAGGUCUGGGAUAAAAUUUGACGUGGAGGAUAUUAGAAAGUGUGUCACAGCCUUCUUCCUCUCUUGCAGACUGAGGUUUAUUUAUUUUUCUCCCUUCCUGCCUGCCUGCCUGCUGAAAACACCUGUUUGCUUGUGGCAUCUUGUCUCAGGAAGAAUCAGGAAGCCAAGACAUCCUUAAGCUGCUGGCUGCCUGUUUGGGGCACCUCUGGGCCAUUGCUCAUCUGUGAAAUUUUGGCAGUGGAAAGGGAAGCCAAUAUGAACUUGACUGGAUGUCAUACAGCCUCAUCCCAUCUUUAGCACAGAUCCAAAACCUCAGAGACACCUACAGAGAACAGGUGAGACAAGAACAUGCAGUGGCAGGGAAAACAGAGGUAUUUGCAGAAAUAAAGCAAAUUAUGAAAUG